ensembl:lncRNA
GUUAGAGCCCCCCGCAGCCCCCCACCCCCGGCUCCCUCACCCCCACCGUCCUCGGACGCGAUCCCGGCUGGGCCACCCGGGGUGCCUGCGGUCUGGCUGAGCUGGCGGGCCCGAAGCACACACUGGCCCAUUGUACACAAGCCCAGACUGGCCACAGGCCAGACCCGGCCCGCGGCAGCACGGCUUUUAAAUCCCACCAUUUAUGUAUUUGGUUUGGUAGCUUUAGGUCGAUGAUGUACUUAAUUUCACCUCGAUAUUGAGUUUGAAUGAACUGAAAGGAAAACACAAAUAUAUAAAACAAUGGCUGGCCGGCUCCAGGCGGGGGACAGGUGUUUCCUAUCUGGAUAUCCCUCUGUAUUUGCUCCAUCCGCUUCCCCUGGGAGCGGGGUGGGCCCCGAAGCAGUUUCUUUUAAACAGUUUUGUAAUGAACGUGUAGUCGGGGCCCAGCUGGGCGCCCCUGGGGCAGCCCUCUCUUGGGCCUUUUAAACACAGCAGUUACAGGAGGGCUCACCUGUCACAUAAGUUGUCUGAACCCAGGGCUAACGAUCUGCGACAGCAUUGGCGAGGGAACUGUCUACAGAUGAGGUGAGACACCCCAAACCUCUCCCUGCCUUCCUCCCGUAACCCCAGCUACACUUGUCCUAAAGGGGGGUUUUUUAAAAGAAGUUUCGAAAGGACAGAAGAGCAGAGUAACACGAUUAGCCGGUAAGCCCACACGUUUUAGAGAAAUCGCUUUUGCUCUGGUUUGUCAGGAAAGAACGGGGCCUGUCCUCAGGCCGGUGACGGCCGUUUGCCUCAGGGGGGCCUGGGCAGUCCUCCCCGCCGCCCCAGGCCCCAGGCCUGAGCCCGCGCCAACCUUCUGGUGCGCCGGGCACCAUUCCUACGGUCAGAGUCCUUCUGGGCCUUGUCCCUCCUCAGCCACCGGGGCAGCGCCCUGGGGGUGUGACCACGAAGUCCCAGGGCACCCCGCGCUUGGGAGGGGGCCCCGCCCAUGGCGGUCAGCGCUCCGCUAUCUCGGUCCUGACACUUCACCACUCCCCCUGGGACUCUGCUUGGUGGAUGAAGUCCAGUGGGACAAAUGAGUUCACGGCCCCCCAGCCCAGCGACUGCCGGGAGGGCCCGGGGCAGGUGCCAAGUCGCAGGGUGGGCCCGGGGCUCCUGUGAGGGUCUGCACUUGCAAUAAAAGCACACGGUGACAGGUCAAGAGAGAAACCACAGGAAAAGCUUUUUUUCUGUUUUCCUACUUCUUGAACAAGGGACCCUGUGUUUUCACCUGGCACUGAGGCCUGCAGAUUAUACAGCUGGCCAAGCUCAGUGACCUGGGGUCCACUCUGGAUGUAGAGAAAACACACCUCUGUCAGGGGCACGGGCAUUGGGUCCAGAAAACGCCCUGCUGCCGACCAGCAUGUUGAAAAAGGAGGCCACAGAGCGGGGAGGAACCAAGCCAAGGACAUCAAGGCAAAGGAACUGGGACCCCCGCCCAGGUGGGGGAUGGUGACCACAUACUCACCACAAGCAUGCAGACCCCAGACUGGCUGGAACCAGAAGACUGUUGGUCAAAAAUCCCAAAACACCACUCUGUUAGCUCACCACCAACCAAUCAGAAGAAGGGCGCGUGAGCUGCAACCCUCGUCCCAAAUGUUGCCUUUAAAACCCCUUCCCUGAAAAUCAGUGAGGGGUUGGGGCUUUCAAGCAUGAGCUGUCCAUUCUCCUUGCUUGUUGCCCUGCAAAUAAACGCUGUGCUUUUCUUCACACACCACAGUGUCAGUAAGUUGGCUUUGCUACAUGGCGAGCAAGGUUGGUUCAGUAACAGAGGGUACCAGGCCCAGGGACAAAGGUCUGAAGUGGCCUUGACAGCCCAUGGGCUGUGUGAGAACAAGCAACGGGCUCCUGCGUCACUGCAGCUUGCACAUCUCCCUGGAGAGCAUCCAGCACCACGGGGACCCCAGGCUCUCAGGGCCUGGGGACAAGUGCCAGCAUCUGGACACACAUGGGCUGGACACAGGCCCCACAGGACACAGUUACAUGAGUGUGCAUGCCACAAAAGCCUGGGAGAAAACACAUAAAACUCUUCACAGUGUUUCUCAGCAAGGCAGCGGUUGAUAAACACCCUCGGUGUAAGGAGCGGUGAAACACAGAAUCCACGCAUAUUUCUGGGAACGCGACCAGCUCCUUGUCAGUAGCCCCAGCACAGGACGUGGGUGUGCGAGUACUGGCACACGGGGGCAUACACGAACGCUCAUGGCACACACAGCCCACACCCAAUCCACACUCCGGUUUCUCACAAAGCCCAGACUGGGCUGUCUGUCACGGCCAGCAAUAGCACUGAGCGGACAGAAAAGGAGCCACAGAAGUGGCUGGGCCAGUGAACCAGCGGACCACCGGCUGUCCUGAUGGCUGACAGGGUUCACUCCUGCGCAGCAGAGCCGCGGCCUGCGGGCCGUCCACUGAGGGCGCCCCUGAAGCCGCAUCUGUCCGCAGUUUCGGUGACAUGUCCAACGGACACACGGUGUUGUCCAGGGUGGGCUGGGGAGGGGCUCGUGGCAGUCCGGGGCUUCAGGCUUGCUGGUUUAUAUAGCCCUUCCCCCUAAUUUUAAACGUAAGGAAACUGAGGCUUGUAUGAAGAGUGAGGUCCUCCAGGUGACCCCAGACCAAUCUGAGUCAGGAGAGAGCAUCACCAAAACCUGGGUCACCAGAACCACCUCCAGGGAG